rnacentral:rRNA from 1 species
AGGUCCUGCCUGCCCAGAUGACCCACUUAAACGGCCGCGGUACCCUAACCGUGCAAAGGUAGCGUAAUCACUUGUCCCUUAAAUGAGGACUCGUAUGAACGGCCAAAUGAGGGCCCUACUGUCUCCUAGCGCCCCCCAAUGAAUCUGAUCUCCCAGUCCAAAAGCUGAGAUACCAAUAUAAGACGAGAAGACCCUGUGGAGCUUUAAACACACCUGCUACCGACAAAAUACUUCCACAGUAGCAACGUUUUAAGUUGGGGCGACUACGGAGAAAAACCAAACCUCCAUGAACCAGGCUAACAACCACCCAAGGAAAACCAGCCAAACAAAACCAUGACCCAGUAAAACUGACCACCGAACCAAGUUACCCCAGGGAUAACAGCGCCAUCCCCUUAAAGAGUCCAUAUCGACAAGGGGGCUUACGACCUCGAUGUUGGAUCAGGACACCCCGGCGGCGCAGCCACUGCCAACGGUUCGUUUGUUCAACGAUUAAUGUCCUACGUGAUCUGAGUUCAGACCA